rnacentral:rRNA from 1 species
AGAUUGAACGCUGGCGGCAUGCCUUACACAUGCAAGUCGAACGGCAGCACGGGGGCAACCCUGGUGGCGAGUGGCGAACGGGUGAGUAAUGCAUCGGAACGUGCCCAGUAGUGGGGGAUAACUAGUCGAAAGAUUAGCUAAUACCGCAUACGACCUAUGGGUGAAAGCGGGGGAUUCGCAAGAACCUCGCGCUAUCGGAGCGGCCGAUGUCUGAUUAGCUAGUUGGACGGGGUAAAAGCCCACCAAGGCUUCGAUCAGUAGCUGGUCUGAGAGGACGACCAGCCACGACGUGGGACUGGAGACACCGGCCCAGACGUCCGACGGGAGGCAGGCGAGGUAGGGGUAAUUUUGGGAACAAGU